rnacentral:rRNA from 1 species
CGAUAACCGCUGAAAGCAUCUAAGCGGGAAGCGAGCCCUGAGAUGAGUCUUCCCUGAUACUUUAAGUAUCCUAAAGGGUUGUUCGAGACUAGAACGUUGAUAGGCAGGGUGUGUAAGCGUUGUGAGGCGUUGAGCUAACCUGUACUAAUUGCCCGUGAGGCUUAACCAUACAACACCCAAGGGGUUU